UUUUUCCAUAAUUUGUCUACAAUUGUUUAAACAAUUUGUGGUAAGCAACAAAUUUCCCGGUUAUCGUUGAAUAAUUCAAUUUACUAAACCAAAUGCUUUGCUUUUGUUUACUCGUGCUCAAGUAUUCAAUUUCACCUGAUUUUUGAAGAAACAAUAUUUCCGUAAAUUGUCAACGAUUGAUUGAACAAUUCUUGGUAAGCCACUAAUUUUUUGUCGUUUAACGAUUGACUAAUAAAAAACAAAUGCGACUUCAUAAUGCUUCCAACAGAAUUCAAAUCGCUGAAAAUUUAAUUCAAUAUCAACGUUAAAGAAAAUUUAGCUGUAAACCUUUGAUUUUGAUAAGCUGCGCAUUCUGGAACUACUUUUACCGGCGGAGCGCGUAUGCUUCUCAAAUCAGUGCGAACUGGCCAAGGCCAAUAGCGUGGCCAGUCUUGUCGUAGCUUUCGAACGGAUGGUUGAUACGGGCGCGUUGAAAUUCACGACUUUUGGCGGUUAUUUGUGAGAAAGUGAUUAAAACGGUUUUAGCUUGUGUCCAGUGGAAGCAGCGCAGUUUAGGACGUUUGAAGUGGC